rnacentral:rRNA from 1 species
GGUUAAGCGACUAAGCGUACACGGUGGAUGCCCUGGCAGUCAGAGGCGAUGAAGGACGUGCUAAUCUGCGAUAAGCGUCGGUAAGGUGAUAUGAACCGUUAUAACCGGCGAUUUCCGAAUGGGGAAACCCAGUGUGUUUCGACACACUAUCAUUAACUGAAUCCAUAGGUUAAUGAGGCGAACCGGGGGAACUGAAACAUCUAAGUACCCCGAGGAAAAGAAAUCAACCGAGAUUCCCCCAGUAGCGGCGAGCGAACGGGGAGCAGCCCAGAGCCUGAAUCAGUGUGUGUGUUAGUGGAAGCGUCUGGAAAGGCGCGCGAUACAGGGUGACAGCCCCGUACACAAAAAUGCACAUGCUGUGAGCUCGAUGAGUAGGGCGGGACACGUGGUAUCCUGUCUGAAUAUGGGGGGACCAUCCUCCAAGGCUAAAUACUCCUGACUGACCGAUAGUGAACCAGUACCGUGAGGGAAAGGCGAAAAGAACCCCGGCGAGGGGAGUGAAAAAGAACCUGAAACCGUGUACGUACAAGCAGUGGGAGCCUCUUUUAUGGGGUGACUGCGUACCUUUUGUAUAAUGGGUCAGCGACUUAUAUUCUGUAGCAAGGUUAACCGAAUAGGGGAGCCGAAGGGAAACCGAGUCUUAACUGGGCGUUAAGUUGCAGGGUAUAGACCCGAAACCCGGUGAUCUAGCCAUGGGCAGGUUGAAGGUUGGGUAACACUAACUGGAGGACCGAACCGACUAAUGUUGAAAAAUUAGCGGAUGACUUGUGGCUGGGGGUGAAAGGCCAAUCAAACCGGGAGAUAGCUGGUUCUCCCCGAAAGCUAUUUAGGUAGCGCCUCGUGAAUUCAUCUCCGGGGGUAGAGCACUGUUUCGGCAAGGGGGUCAUCCCGACUUACCAACCCGAUGCAAACUGCGAAUACCGGAGAAUGUUAUCACGGGAGACACACGGCGGGUGCUAACGUCCGUCGUGAAGAGGGAAACAACCCAGACCGCCAGCUAAGGUCCCAAAGUCAUGGUUAAGUGGGAAACGAUGUGGGAAGGCCCAGACAGCCAGGAUGUUGGCUUAGAAGCAGCCAUCAUUUAAAGAAAGCGUAAUAGCUCACUGGUCGAGUCGGCCUGCGCGGAAGAUGUAACGGGGCUAAACCAUGCACCGAAGCUGCGGCAGCGACGCUUAUGCGUUGUUGGGUAGGGGAGCGUUCUGUAAGCCUGCGAAGGUGUACUGUGAGGUAUGCUGGAGGUAUCAGAAGUGCGAAUGCUGACAUAAGUAACGAUAAAGCGGGUGAAAAGCCCGCUCGCCGGAAGACCAAGGGUUCCUGUCCAACGUUAAUCGGGGCAGGGUGAGUCGACCCCUAAGGCGAGGCCGAAAGGCGUAGUCGAUGGGAAACAGGUUAAUAUUCCUGUACUUGGUGUUACUGCGAAGGGGGGACGGAGAAGGCUAUGUUGGCCGGGCGACGGUUGUCCCGGUUUAAGCGUGUAGGCUGGUUUUCCAGGCAAAUCCGGAAAAUCAAGGCUGAGGCGUGAUGACGAGGCACUACGGUGCUGAAGCAACAAAUGCCCUGCUUCCAGGAAAAGCCUCUAAGCAUCAGGUAACAUCAAAUCGUACCCCAAACCGACACAGGUGGUCAGGUAGAGAAUACCAAGGCGCUUGAGAGAACUCGGGUGAAGGAACUAGGCAAAAUGGUGCCGUAACUUCGGGAGAAGGCACGCUGAUAUGUAGGUGAAGUCCCUCGCGGAUGGAGCUGAAAUCAGUCGAAGAUACCAGCUGGCUGCAACUGUUUAUUAAAAACACAGCACUGUGCAAACACGAAAGUGGACGUAUACGGUGUGACGCCUGCCCGGUGCCGGAAGGUUAAUUGAUGGGGUUAGCGCAAGCGAAGCUCUUGAUCGAAGCCCCGGUAAACGGCGGCCGUAACUAUAACGGUCCUAAGGUAGCGAAAUUCCUUGUCGGGUAAGUUCCGACCUGCACGAAUGGCGUAAUGAUGGCCAGGCUGUCUCCACCCGAGACUCAGUGAAAUUGAACUCGCUGUGAAGAUGCAGUGUACCCGCGGCAAGACGGAAAGACCCCGUGAACCUUUACUAUAGCUUGACACUGAACAUUGAGCCUUGAUGUGUAGGAUAGGUGGGAGGCUUAGAAGUGUGGACGCCAGUCUGCAUGGAGCCGACCUUGAAAUACCACCCUUUAAUGUUUGAUGUUCUAACGUUGACCCGUAAUCCGGGUUGCGGACAGUGUCUGGUGGGUAGUUUGACUGGGGCGGUCUCCUCCUAAAGAGUAACGGAGGAGCACGAAGGUUGGCUAAUCCUGGUCGGACAUCAGGAGGUUAGUGCAAUGGCAUAAGCCAGCUUGACUGCGAGCGUGACGGCGCGAGCAGGUGCGAAAGCAGGUCAUAGUGAUCCGGUGGUUCUGAAUGGAAGGGCCAUCGCUCAACGGAUAAAAGGUACUCCGGGGAUAACAGGCUGAUACCGCCCAAGAGUUCAUAUCGACGGCGGUGUUUGGCACCUCGAUGUCGGCUCAUCACAUCCUGGGGCUGAAGUAGGUCCCAAGGGUAUGGCUGUUCGCCAUUUAAAGUGGUACGCGAGCUGGGUUUAGAACGUCGUGAGACAGUUCGGUCCCUAUCUGCCGUGGGCGCUGGAGAACUGAGGGGGGCUGCUCCUAGUACGAGAGGACCGGAGUGGACGCAUCACUGGUGUUCGGGUUGUCAUGCCAAUGGCACUGCCCGGUAGCUAAAUGCGGAAGAGAUAAGUGCUGAAAGCAUCUAAGCACGAAACUUGCCCCGAGAUGAGUUCUCCCUGACUCCUUGAGAGUCCUGAAGGAACGUUGAAGACGACGACGUUGAUAGGCCGGGUGUGUAAGCGCAGCGAUGCGUUGAGCUAACCGGUACUAAUGAACCGUGAGGCUUAACCUU